ensembl:lncRNA
AUUUUUUCCAAGUUGGACCUUCGGAAUGCCUACCAGCUGGUUCGGAUACGUGAAGGGGAAAACAGACUGCAACACAGCCAGCGGACUCCAGCUCCCCGCUACCACAUUGGGCAGAGGGUAUGACUGUCCACAUAGGACCUUCCCCUUCGGGUAGAGUCCUGAAAACUAUCCCCCCAUUUCACUGGUCCGUUUCCCAUCUCUAGAGUCCUUAGUUCCACUGCUGUCCAUCUCUUGUUACCCCGUACCCUAUGUAUUCACCCAAUGUUCCAAGUGUCUAGGAUUAAGCCAGUGUCUCACUGUCCUUUGUCUUCUGUUCCCAGGCCCCCCAUCCCUCCCCUGUGUCAUUGAUGGCCAUCCGGCAUACACGGUGAGACGUCUCCUGAGUCUUUGACCAAGUGGCAGGGGUUUCCAGUACCUGGUUGACUGGGAGGAUUACGGCCCGGAGGAGAGGUGCUGAGUUUCCGAUAGAGACAUCCUGGAUCCAGCCCUCAUCACCGACUUCUACCGCCGACACCAGGUUAACCAGGUGUCUGUAACGAUCUUCGUCUUCAUCGGAUGAGGAGUAGGAAGGAUCGGACCAAAACGCAGCGUGGUCCUAUGAUUGAGUCCAGUCUGACCCAGGGGUGUGAAGGUGAACGGAAAGGCUCUGGAGCAACAAACCGCCCAUGCUGUCUCUGCCUGGCCGGUUCCCCUCUUUCCAUGGGGAUUCUCUGCCUCUAACCCUAUUACAGGGGCUGAGUCACUGGCUUACUGGUGCUCUUCCAUGCCGUCCAUAGGAGGGGUGCGUCGACUCACUGACGUGAUCUUCCUGUCCGGGUUGGCGCCCCCCUUGGGUUCAUGCCGUGGGGAGAUCUUCGUGGGCCUUGUCUCAGGGUAGACUACCUGACCUGAUGACUCCUUGCUGUCCCCAGUCCACCUGUUCGUGCUGCUGCUCCAGUUUCAACUGUUCUGCCUGCAGCUAUGGAACCCUGACCUGUUCACCGAAUGUGCUACCUUGUCCCGGACCUGCUGUUUUUCGAUUCUCUCUCUCUACUACACCUGCUGUCUCUAACUCUGAAUGAUCAGCUAUGAAAAGCCAACUGCCAUUUACUCCUGAGAUGCUGACCUGUUGCACCCUCUACAACCACUGUGAUUAUUAUUUGACCCUGCUGGUCAUCUAUGAACGUUUGACCAUCUUGGCCACUCCUCAGAGCUAGGUUUCUUUCUAGGCUCCUGCCUUUCUAGGGAGUUUUUCCUAGCCACUGUGCUUCUACAUCUGCAUAGCUUGCUGUUUUGGGGUUUUAGGCUGGGAUCCUGGAUAGCACUUUGUGACAUCGGCUGAUGUAAAAAGGGCUUUAUAAAUACAUUUGAGUGAUUGUUCACCCACGACUGUGUGGCCAAGCAUGACUCCAAUACCAUCAUUAAGUUUGCAGACAACACAAUGGUAGAUCUGAUUAAUGACAAUGAAGAGACAGCCUAUAGGGAGGGGGUCAGAGACCUGGCAGUGUGGUGCCAGGACAACAACCUCUCCCUCAAUGUGAUCAAGACAAAGGAGCUGAUCGUGGACUACAGGCAAAGGAGGCCGAGCACACCCCCAUUCGCACCCCCAUUCACGUCGAGAGCUUCAAGUUUCUUGGUGUCCACAUCACCAACAAACUAUCAUGGUCCAAACACACCAAGACAGUAGUGAAGAGGGCACAACAAAGUCUAUUCCCCCUCAGGAGACUGAAAACAUUUGGCAGGGGUCCUCAGCCUCGUUAUUGUUAUUUUAUUGUUACUCAUUUAUUUUUUUAACUUUAGUUUAUUUAGUAAAUAUUUUCUUAACUCUUAUUUUUCUGAAAACUGCCUUGUUGGGUAAGGGAUUGUAAGUAAGCAUUUCACAAAUACCUUUUGUAUUCGGGGCAUGUGGCAAAUAACAUUUGAUUAGAUUUUAUGUUAAUAUGAUUAUUGUGUGUGUUCUGUGUGUGUAUGGGAGGAUAUGGCUGGCUUCCUCACUUCAGUGUGUGACACUGCGUAUGUGUUUGUGUGUCAUUGUGUGUGUAUAUGUCACUGAGUGUGUCAGAAUUCUGCUAUAUAAGGUAUUACCAGGUUGCCAUGGUGAUUAGUGAGUGAGAUAAGGCCAUCUCUAUUGGGGGGAGAAAGAAGAGG